AGUGAACGCUGGCGGUAGGCCUAACACAUGCAAGUCGAACGGCAGCACAGUAAGAGCUUGCUCUUACGGGUGGCGAGUGGCGGACGGGUGAGGAAUACAUCGGAAUCUACUUUUUCGUGGGGGAUAACGUAGGGAAACUUACGCUAAUACCGCAUACGACCUACGGGUGAAAGCAGGGGAUCUUCGGACCUUGCGCGAUUGAAUGAGCCGAUGUCGGAUUAGCUAGUUGGCGGGGUAAAGGCCCACCAAGGCGACGAUUCGUAGCUGGUCUGAGGGGAGGAUCAGCCACACUGGAACUGUGACACGGUCACGACUCCGACGUGAGUGCGCCGUAGCGUAUAGUGCACUAUGGGCGGAAGCUUACGCACACCAACCCUCGUGUGAGAAGAAGGCCUUCUGGUUGUAAAGCCCUUAUGUUGUGCAAGAAAAACAGCACGUUACUACCCACCUGUUCUGACGUUACCCAAAGAAUAAGCACCGGCUUACUUCGUG
rnacentral:rRNA from 1 species